UACGAAGGGUGCAAGCGUUAAUCGGAAUUACUGGGCGUAAAGCGUGCGCAGGCGGUUAUGCAAGACAGAGGUGAAAUCCCCGGGCUCAACCUGGGAACUGCCUUUGUGACUGCAUAGCUAGAGUACGGCAGAGGGGGAUGGAAUUCCGCGUGUAGCAGUGAAAUGCGUAGAUAUGCGGAGGAACACCGAUGGCGAAGGCAAUCCCCUGGACCUGUACUGACGCUCAUGCACGAAAGCGUGGGGAGCAAACAGG
rnacentral:rRNA from 1 species